AUCAAAAUAUAUUUAACAAGUAUAUCUUUUAGGUUAUUGUCGCCAGGAAAUAUCUAACGUGUAGACAUAAUUCAAUGUGUAUACGUACUAUCUGUAAUUUUUUUUAUAUUAGUCCAAGACAUCAAUAAAAAUAGUUGUUAUGACGAAUUUUUCAACUAGUUUAAACAUUUAAGCAUCUUUGAAAAAGUUUAUAGUUUGAAGUAAGUUAAGUUAAGAGAAGAUCAAGUAUGGUUUAGGAGGAAAGAACAUUAGUUUAACUUUCUGUCAUCUUUGUAAAGUUUAUCUUUUCUAAUAUAAAUUUGACAAUUAAUUCCUUCUCCACAUUUUGUAAGUGAUUGAUCAUAGUGAACUGAGUGAACUGGAUUUUUACUUACGUAUUAAAUUCCAGUUACAUCAUUUUGGGGUACAUUUACUUAAUACAUAGUACAAAUCUACAUAUAAGAUAUAUAAAUGUAUUGAAAUAUAAUCUCCAAAAAUAGAAUAAGAGACGAUUGUGUUUGGAUGAUUGAUUUUUUUAUCAAAAGAUGAUUUGAUUAAACGUCUCCAUCUGUGAAGAAACACGAGAGAACGGAGAAGAUAAAAUGGGAAACAUGUGAGAGCUUCAAGAAUGGAUCUCUCGUGAGACGUGACCGAUCAUCCUCUGAUACAUACAUUCUCUAACUUAUAGUUAAUCCAAAAC
rnacentral:lncRNA from 1 species